rnacentral:hammerhead_ribozyme from 1 species
GUACUGAUGAAGAAUCCCAAGCAAUAGGACGAAACAGCUGUCGAGUAC